CAUAUUUUCUGGGUCUACUCUGUCAGUAAAUAAUAUGACACAGAUGCUGCUGAAUAUUUUAUGAUGAGCUUGCCCCAGGAGUCCCUAAAUGUUUUAUGAUUUCCGAGGAAAGCAAGCAAGCAUUCAGAGCUGUUAUGUUCAGCAGCAAGCUCAAAAUCUUUAUUAUGUCUGAGCUGUCUCCAUUGCUUCAGGACUGGGAUGAGGAAGGACAUCAUGGCAGGUAGGGAUGUGACAGAGCAGAGUGGCUCAGGGUGGCCAGGAAGCAGCAGAAGAGAAAGAGCUGGGACAAGAGAUACUGUUGCAGGGUGUCUGCCCAGUGACCCACAUCCUCCAAGCUGACUCCACCCUCUGAGGUUCUCCAGCUUCCCAGGAUUCUGUCAGCGACUACUCCAGAGGAAGAAGUGCCCUGUAACAUCGGUGACAACCAGGAAGGAUAACGGACACAGAAGCCACGGAUGCAGAAAUUGGAUGGAGAACAACAAUGAUGCAGAAACUGAGACACAGAAAAUUUGGAUAAACUUGUUUAAGGUCACUUGGCAGAAUGUCAAUUCAAUUGGAGAAAACAACUCCAAAGCUUGAGCCACUGACUACAAAGGACACUGCUUUGACACCCUGCGAGUUGACCCCCAGAAGCUGACAAGUUUGGCCAGAGGCAGCUCUCCUCAUGUCCAGGGGUUCAUAUGAAGAUGGUGUCAGAAGUCUAGGCAGAAGUGUACUAAGAACAUGGUGUGGCCUCUCCCUAAGCCUUGCUAGGCUGGGUUAAUUACUUCGUCUCUUUCAACUUCAGUUUUUACAUGAAACUGGAGACAUCAACUUUACCACUAACUUCCAAGAGUGUCAUUGUUGGUAUCAGGUUCGGCUCCGAAUCCGGUGACAUCAUACCUAGGAGACAGAGACCCGGACAUCUGUUGCCAAGGCAACCACCACCAUAUUCCCAUAAUCCCCUUGGCUCACUUCUCAUCUCUACCUGUGAACUGCUACUCACUA